UACGUAGGGGGCAAGCGUUUGUCCGGAUUUAUUGGGCGUAAAGAGCGUGUAGGCGGCCUGACAGGUCUGCUGUGAAAACUCGAGGCUCAACCUCGAGACGUCGGUGGAAACCGUUUGGCUAGAGUCCGGAAGAGGAGAGUGGAAUUCCCGGUGUAGCGGUGAAAUGCGCAGAUAUCGGGAAGAACACCCGUGGCGAAGGCGGCUCUCUGGGACGGUACUGACGCUGAGACGCGAAAGCGUGGGGAGCGAACAGG
rnacentral:rRNA from 1 species